rnacentral:rRNA from 1 species
GAUGAACGCUGGCGGCGUGCCUAAUACAUGCAAGUCGAGCGAACAGACGAGGAGCUUGCUCCUCUGACGUUAGCGGCGGACGGGUGAGUAACACGUGGAUAACCUACCUAUAAGACUGGGAUAACUUCGGGAAACCGGAGCUAAUACCGGAUAAUAUAUUGAACCGCAUGGUUCAAUAGUGAAAGACGGUUUUGCUGUCACUUAUAGAUGGAUCCGCGCCGCAUUAGCUAGUUGGUAAGGUAACGGCUUACCAAGGCAACGAUGCGUAGCCGACCUGAGAGGGUGAUCGGCCACACCGGAACUGAGACACGGUCCAGACUCCUACGGGAGGCAGCAGUAGGGAAUCUUCCGCAAUGGGCGAAAGCUUGACGGAGCAACGCCGCGUGAGUGAUGAAGGUCUUCGGAUCGUAAAACCCUGUUAUUAGGGAAGAACAAAUGUGUAAGUAACUAUGCACGUCUUGACGGUACCUAAUCAGAAAGCCACGGCUAACUACGUG